GUAGGUGGCAAGCGUUGUCCGGAAUUAUUGGGCGUAAAGCGCGCGCAGGCGGUUUUUUAAGUCUGAUGUGAAAGCCCACGGCUCAACCGUGGAGGGUCAUUGGAAACUGGAGAACUUGAGUACAGAAGAGGAAAGCGGAAUUCCACGUGUAGCGGUGAAAUGCGUAGAGAUGUGGAGGAACACCAGUGGCGAAGGCGGCUUUCUGGUCUGUAACUGACGCUGAGGCGCGAAAGCGUGGGGAGCAAACAGGGAUUAGAUACCCUGGUAGUCCACGCCGUAAACGAUGAGUGCUAAGUGUUAGGGGGGUUUUCCGCCCCCUUAGUGCUGCAGCUAACGCAUUAAGCACUCCGCCUGGGGAGUACGGCCGCAAGGCUG
rnacentral:rRNA from 1 species